rnacentral:tRNA from 1 species
GCUCAUAAACCUUUUCUUUCAUUCAUCAAUAGGGCCCUGGUCGGUCACUUUCCGGGUCGGGAUCGAUAAGUAGA